CUCUGAACUUGAGCUUCUGCAUUCAAUAUAUUCUCGUUUUUCUUUUCUUCUUUUCCUGCAGUCUUCAAAUUGCGUCUCAGUUACUGUCAUUCAAGUACCUGCUGAGGGAAGUGAGGGAAAAAGGUGGCGCUUAUGGAGUGGGUGCAGUUGUUCAACCUGGUGGAUGCCUCAGCUUUUACUCAUACAGGGACCCAAACAUGGAGAAAACACUGGAUGUAUUUUGCAACUCGGUAGCAUGGCUCACAAAAGGAGAGUUUACAGAAGAAGAUCUUGCAGAAUCCAAGCUGUCUUGCUUUGCAAAGGUUGACAAGCCCAUCACCCCAGGUAACCGUGGGGCUGCAGCAUUCCUGCAUGGAGUGACAGAUGAGAUGAGGCAAGAGCACCGGCAGAGGAUCUUUGCCUGCAGCAAAGAUGACAUCAUCUCGGCAGUCAAGAGGUG